rnacentral:lncRNA from 1 species
GAAAUACAGCUGUUGUCUCUGUGCUGAGGGAAGAGCAAAAGAGGGAAUCUGAGUUUUAUGGACAAAAUGAAAGAUGUCCUGGAUGAAGGAAUUGUUUUCUAGGAUGAUAUGUACUUCAGAUUGUUUUCUAGUGAGGAAGACAGUGGAUAAUGUAAGAGAAUUUUGCUCAUGCUUCUCCUACAACUGUUGGCUUGCUUAAAGUGUAAACAUAGACCCUUGAAGUGUCUCCAAGACCCAGGAAGACAUUCUGCUGCACCACACAGCAGAAGUGGAGGAGUGGACAGUACUUAACAGUCCUUGUAUAAGAGAAUGCAGCAACCAAUAGCUCUUCAAGAUCCUCUGUCUCAUUCAAAUUCACGCCCUGUCUAUCAUUAGAAAACAAACAGCAAAUGAAAAACAUUGCAGAAUGAAAAUUGGACAGAAUGCAGAGAUCAGUGGACUCUAGUCACAAUGGAUAUACUGGCAGCAUGGCUCCUGCAUCUGUGGUCCAUCCUAAAUGCAGAGAAAAUAAUUUAUAUUAUAUUAGCAGUGCUAUAAUAAUAAUAUAUAACAAUAGUGUUAUAAUAGCAGUGUUUAGAAAGU